GAUGAACGCUGGCGGCGUGCCUAAUACAUGCAAGUCGAGCGAACAGACGAGGAGCUUGCUCCUUUGACGUUAGCGGCGGACGGGUGAGUAACACGUGGGUAACCCACCUAUAAGACUGGGAUAACUUCGGGAAACCGGAGCUAAUACCGGAUAAUAUUUCGAACCGCAUGGUUCGAUAGUGAAAGAUGGCUUUGCUAUCACUUAUAGAUGGACCUGCGCCGUAUUAGCUAGUUGGUAAGGUAACGGCUUACCAAGGCAACGAUACGUAGCCGACCUGAGAGGGUGAUCGGCCACACUGGAACUGAGACACGGUCCAGACUCCUACGGGAGGCAGCAGUAGGGAAUCUUCCGCAAUGGGCGAAAGCCUGACGGAGCAACGCCGCGUGAGUGAUGAAGGUCUUCGGAUCGUAAAACUCUGUUAUUAGGGAAGAACAAACGUGUAAGUAACUGUGCACGUCUUGACGGUACCUAAUCAGAAAGCCACGGCUAACUACGUG
rnacentral:rRNA from 1 species